rnacentral:rRNA from 1 species
GAUCCUGGCUCAGGAUGAACGCUAGCUACAGGCUUAACACAUGCAAGUCGAGGGGCAGCAUCGCGAUAGCUUGCUAUUGCGGAUGGGCGACCGGCGCACGGGUGAGUAACGCGUAUCCAACCUUCCCGCAACUGGGGAAUAACCUUGCGAAAGUAAGACUAAUACCCCCAUGGUCUCCACGGAUGGCAUCUGAAAUGGAGUAAAGGUUUCGGCCGGUUGCGGAUGGGGAUGCGUCCGAUUAGCUUGACGGCGGGGUAACGGCCCACCGUGGCAUCGAUCGGUAGGGGUUCUGAGAGGAAGGUCCCCCACAUUGGAACUGAGACACGGUCCAAACUCCUACGGGAGGCAGCAGUGAGGAAUAUUGGUCAAUGGGCGGAAGCCUGAACCAGCCAAGUAGCGUGAAGGAUGACUGCCCUAUGGGUUGUAAACUUCUUUUAUGCGGGGAUAAAGUUCGCCACGUGUGGCGUUUUGCAGGUACCGCAUGAAUAAGGACCGGCUAAUUCCGUG